AUUUAUUGUUUUUUAAAAAAUAAGUUAUUAAUAGUAUAUAGUGGUAUCGAUUGUUUAAUUAUUAUUAAAGCACCUUAGUAGCAACAUCUAUUCUUCUAUCUUAGACGUACAAUGGUAUCCCGUGAUAAAUGAAGUGCGUGAAGAUUUAAAAAUGACACUGUUGUGUUGAUUACUGUUUUAUCAUAUCAUUCACUGUUGCAAAGAACAUUUUGGACAAUGAUAAUUCAGAUAGUAUCCCCG